rnacentral:rRNA from 1 species
CAGAGGUGCCGAGCGUUAGGCGGAAUCACUGGGCUUAAAGCGUGUGUAGGCGGAGUGCUAAGUACCUUGUGAAAUCCCACGGCUUAACCGUGGAACUGCUUGGUAUACUGGUUCUCUUGGGCCAUCUAGGGGCGAGCGGAACAAACGGUGGAGCGGUGAAAUGCGUAGAUAUCGUUUGGAACGCCAAUGGUGAAAACAGCUCGCUGGGGAUGUGCCGACGCUGAGACACGAAAGCCAGGGGAGCGAACGGGAUUAGAUACCCCGGUAGUCCUGGCUGUAAACGAUGUCGACUAGAUCGUGGUGGCUCUGACGCCGUCACGGUCGAAGCAAAAGUGCUAAGUCGACCGCCUGGGAAGUACGGUCGCAAGGCUA